GAUGAACGCUGGCGGCGUGCCUAAUACAUGCAAGUCGAGCGAACAGAUGAGGAGCUUGCUCCUCUGACGUUAGCGGCGGACGGGUGAGUAACACGUGGAUAACCUACCUAUAAGACUGGGAUAACUUCGGGAAACCGGAGCUAAUACCGGAUAAUAUAUUGAACCGCAUGGUUCAAUAGUGAAAGACGGUUUUACUGUCACUUAUAGAUGGAUCCGCGCCGCAUUAGCUAGUUGGUAAGGUAACGGCUUACCAAGGCAACGAUGCGUAGCCGACCUGAGAGGGUGAUCGGCCUCACUGGAACUGAGACACGGUCCAGACUCCUACGGGAGGCAGCAGUAGGGAAUCUUCCGCAAUGGGCGAAAGCUUGACGGAGCAACGCCGCGUGAGUGAUGAAGGUCUUCGGAUCGUAAAACUCUGUUAUUAGGGAAGAACAAAUGUGUAAGUAACUAUGCACGUCUUGACGGUACCUAAUCAGAAAGCCACGGCUAACUACGUG
rnacentral:rRNA from 1 species